rnacentral:rRNA from 1 species
UACGUAGGGUGCAAGCGUUAAUCGGAAUUACUGGGCGUAAAGCGUGCGCAGGCGGUUUUGUAAGUCUGUCGUGAAAGCCCCGGGCUCAACCUGGGAAUUGCGAAGGAGACUGCAAGGCUUGAAUCUGGCAGAGGGGGGUAGAAUUCCACGUGUAGCAGUGAAAUGCGUAGAGAUGUGGAGGAACACCGAUGGCGAAGGCAGCCCCCUGGGUCAAGAUUGACGCUCAUGCACGAAAGCGUGGGGAGCAAACAGG